GAGGUGAGCGAGGACACCAGCAUGGCCGAGGUUGUUGCCAUGAUGACCAGCUGCUAAAAGAAUACCCUUCCUCUGUUCUGAGAGCUGCUCCCUGUGCUGG